rnacentral:tRNA from 1 species
GGGAGUGUGGCUCAGUGGUAGAGCUCCUGCCUAGUCUGCAGAAAGCCCAAGAUUCCAUUUCAAGUACUGCCA